rnacentral:lncRNA from 1 species
AUCUUGCAUUUGUACUGCAGAGCUCUUGCCAUGAUUAUGAAACAAGAAGGAACACUUGACUGGUAAGAGGAAGAAAAGCCUCAAGAGAACAUGCAUACAACUCCAGUAAAUGCCUGUGCAUAUGCCCCCACAACAAGCACUAGCAGGCCACUGUGCAUGAGGACAGCCCAUCCCAAGGGAAGAAUCGGAAGAAGUAACACAAGACCCCUGAAGCAUGCCAAACCCUAAGGGAAAGUCAACCUGUGCACUUGAUCUUUCAAGUUGCCUGCUUGGCCCUCUUCGAAGUGCACUUUACUUCCUUUCAUUUGUGAACCCCCAAGUAUCUGAGACAGGUCUCAGUUAAUUUAGAAAGUUUAUUUUGCCAAGGUUGAGGGUGUGCGCCCGUUACACAGCCUCAGGAGGUCCUGACAACAUGUGCCCAAGCGGGUCAGAACACAGUUUGGUUUUUAUACAUUUUAGGGAGACAUGAGACAUCAAUCCACAUAUAUAAGAUGAAUAUUGGUUCUAUCCAGAAAAAGCGGGACAAUUCAACGCAAAGGCGGGACUACUUGAAGCGGGAGGGGGCUUCCAGGUCAUAGGUAGAUAAGAGAAAAUUGUAUUCUUUUGAGUUUCUGAUUAGCCUUUCCAAAGGAGGCAAUCAGAUAUGCAUUUAUCUCAGUGAGUAGAGGGGUGACUUUGAAUAGAACGGGAGGCAGGUUGGCUCUAAGCAGUUCCCAGCUUGACUUUUCCCUUUAGCUUAGUGAUUUGGGGGGCCCCAAGAUUCAUUUUCCUUUCACACAUUCCUGUUCUAAAGCUUUUUAAUAAACCUUCACUUCUGCUCUAAAAC